AUCUAAUCAGCGAAGGAAUCGAGAUCUUUCUGGAAAACAAUGGAAGGAAACUGGCAGCGAUGGCUACUGCUAGCAUCGUCCACCUCCAACUCCUCUCUGUCGCAGCAGCCUCACCGCCCACUGCCACACCACCUCCACCUCCCCCUCUUCCCCGUCAUCUCCUCUUCUCCUACCCCGUCUCCUGCGACGCCGACAUCGGCAAGUACGCCGCGGGCGCCGUCCGUUGGUCGAGUCCACAACGCCUCUCCUGCGUACUCCUCAGAUUCAGCCGAUCCGCCGCCCACCACGUCUCCCUCCUCACCAUGGUCUCCUCCUCCCUCUAGCCCGUCUUCUCCGAGGACGGCAUCGGCAUGUACGCCGCUGGCGGCGUCUGCGCCUCAAGUUCGUGAGGACUCUUAUGCUUCGUCAUUUGAGGCUCUGAUGCAGGAGACCUGCCGCCCACCACGUCCCCUUCCUCCUCGCCAACCUCUUUUCAUAUGUGAUGGGCAUUCAAAAUUUGUCAUUCCAACUUCCCCCGUCUGGAUGUUGUAUUAGUAAUAGUUGGAGAAGUCUAACUGGAUUAUACUCAUUGUAGAUAGUUGUUUUCUUUAUCUAAUGCCUAUCAUACCGACUCCUACAUUCCUAGAUUAAUUUUAUCUAUCAUGUGACAUGUCUAUAGUUUGAAUGCAUUCUUUAGUAGCCAUGUAUGCCUUAUUUUUCCCACAUAUGUAUCACAUGUCUCAAGAAGAAGAUGAGUACAUCACCUUGGCUGGGACAGGUAUUGCCAGUGCCAUGGAUGCCUUAUUUCCUUAAACCGGUAUUUUCACACAGGCAAAAGGAAGGCCAGUCCAACUCUGUUGCAAAUUUUACAAACAACAUAAUCUACAAAGAAGUUCUCACUGUGCAGUCCAAGGUAUGAACCACUCAACUACAAGUUGGUGGCUGUAGAAAAUCCGGUCUAUCUAACUAGGGCCAGCAAUCUGAAUUUGGUUUCUCUCUACUAUUCUUAAGUUUGUGCGGAGGACUUUCAGAAAAGUAAGUUACAUGCUUUAGCGUCCAUGAUAUUCAGGUCGCACUCCACUUUUUCUUUUGCAGAAACGUGGUUGGUGUCAGAAAGUUACAAGAGGUCCAAUACCAAUUUUUUCUGUAUCCGUUCUAGGGAAAUGAACAAUUUUAUUGCAAUUGUUGUUCUAAGGUUGGAAGUGAAAAUAUGUAUUGGCGAUCACUGUUUGAGCUGGUGCUGUGGGCGAUCUGGUAUGAGCGCAGUCGUUACAUUUUCACAAUCCAGAGUAAUCGGCUUUCUCUCCCGUUUUCCAUGUGUUUUGUAUGGUAUUUAUUCCUCUAUCAAGGAAAUCAACAAUUCUUUUGUUGGAGUUUAAAAUCUCUGUUGGAGCUUAGUUUUUGCCCGGCUUAGAUAUGCAUAUUGUAUGAAUAAACUUCAGAUGAGAGGCAUUCAUAUUGGAGUCAAUUAUUCACGUACAUGCACCAUUUUUUUAACCAACAUGCAACAGUUUGAAGUUCUGCAUACUCUGUUAUGUAUGCAAGUUUUGUAUCAAGUGUUUUUAAUUGUGUUUUACAUAUAAGUUCUCGUCGCCAGAGGCCAGUUAAUAAUGACUGAUCACACUUCUAGUAAUGCAGAUUGCUAUGCUUGAAGAUAAUAUUAUGUGGUUUGAUUAUUAUUUUCUUCAAUUCUUGCAAAGUGGUUUCAAAUGUCACAACAUCGAUUUAUUUGAGCCGUUAUUUAUCUUUAUUUUUUUCUGAUGGGAGGCAUGUUGCAUCAGACAUGGAGAUAUGAUAGAUCCGCGGCAUGGGCAGGCGGUGGAUUAUGAUAUGUGCUAUAACAGAUUGAGCCCAUCAGACUAAGUCGAAGGAUGAGUUAGUAGUCGCUACACUUCCAUUGCACAAAUUCCUGGGGACAAACAUCGAUAUUAUCGCAUUUUAUUCUUCCAUUAUGUGUAUUAAUGUUAGGUUAAAUUGGGGUGCUUGAUGUGUUACCAUUUCUGAUAAAGCUGGUCAGUGUCGUCAUAGUUGUGGAUGGAUUUUCUAUCUAUCGCAUGCUCUCUGUCCCCUCGAUUUAAGAUAGAGUGAGCAAUGAACAGGUCUUCUAGGAAGGUGAAGUUUGAGAAGAAAAUGUAUGGCUUGAAGGACGGGGUUUAUUGGUUGGAAACAUUAUGUUUGAUUGUGCUUAAUGUGUACCUAUCAACGUGUAAGAUCGCUUUGAUGGAUGUAUUGAUACUUUUUAUACUA